rnacentral:rRNA from 1 species
UUGAACGCUGGCGGCAUGCCUUGCACAUGCAAGUCGAACGGCAGCGCGGACUUCGGUCUGGCGGCGAGCGGCGAACGGGUGAGUAAUGUAUCGGAACGUACCAUUCAGUGGGGGAUAACGCAGCGAAAGUUGCGCUAAUACCGCACAUUCUGUGCGCAGGAAAGCAGGGGAUCGCAAGACCUUGCGCUGAUUGAGCGGCCGAUAUCAGAUUAGCUAGUUGGUGAGGUAAAGGCUCACCAAGGCGACGAUCUGUAGCGGGUCUGAGAGGAUGAUCCGCCACACUGGAACUGAGACACGGUCCAGACUCCUACGGGAGGCAGCAGUGGGGAAUUUUGGACAAUGGGCGCAAGCCUGAUCCAGCCAUGCCGCGUGAGUGAAGAAGGCCUUCGGGUUGUAAAGCUCUUUCGGCCGGGAAGAAAUCGUAUGGGUUAAUACCCUGUGCGGAUGACGGUACCGGCAUAAGAAGCACCGGCUAACUACGUG